CCUACGGGGGGCAGCAGUAGGGAAUAUUGCUCAAUGGGGGAAACCCUGAAGCAGCAACGCCGCGUGGAGGAUGAAGGUUUUCGGAUUGUAAACCCCUUUUGUUAGAGAAGAUAAUGACGGUAUCUAACGAAUAAGCACCGGCUAACUCCGUGCCAGCAGCCGCGGUAAUACGGAGGGUGCAAGCGUUACUCGGAAUCACUGGGCGUAAAGAGCGCGUAGGCGGGAUAGCAAGUCAGAUGUGAAAUCCUAUGGCUUAACCAUAGAACUGCAUUUGAAACUGUUGUUCUAGAGUAUGGGAGAGGUAGGUGGAAUUCUUGGUGUAGGGGUAAAAUGCGUAGAGAUCAAGAGGAAUACUCAUUGCGAAGGCGACCUGCUAGAACAUAACUGACGCUGAUGCGCGAAAGCGUGGGGAGCAAACAGGAUUAGAUACCCUAGUAGUC
rnacentral:rRNA from 1 species